UGGCGACCGGCGCACGGGUGAGUAACACGUAUCCAACCUGCCUCAUACUCGGGGAUAGCCUUUCGAAAGAAAGAUUAAUAUCCGAUAGCAUAUAUUUCCCGCAUGGGUUUUAUAUUAAAGAAAUUCGGUAUGAGAUGGGGAUGCGUUCCAUUAGUUUGUUGGGGGGUAACGGCCCACCAAGACUACGAUGGAUAGGGGUUCUGAGAGGAAGGUCCCCCACAUUGGAACUGAGACACGGUCCAA
rnacentral:rRNA from 1 species